GACGUAGGGCGCGAGCGUUGUCCGGAUUUAUUGGGCGUAAAGAGCUCGUAGGCGGUGUGUCACGUCGGCCGUGAAAACCUGCAGCUUAACUGUGGGCGUGCGGUCGAUACGGGCAUCACUGGAGUUCGGCAGGGGAGACUGGAAUUCCUGGUGUAGCGGUGAAAUGCGCAGAUAUCAGGAGGAACACCGGUGGCGAAAGCGCUCAUCUGGCCCAAUACUGACGCUGAGGCGCGAAAGCUAGGGGAGCAAACGGG
rnacentral:rRNA from 1 species